ensembl:lncRNA
UUGUUUUCCUGAUCAAAACAAAGGGUAUAGGAAAAGAGUAAUAAGAAAAAGGGAAAGGAAAAGAACAAAAAGGAAAAGAAAAAAGAACCUGAGGUCUUCUACUUUAUUUUUAUGAGAUUUGUGAGCGAGUUGUUAUUCCUGUUUGCAUUUUUUUUCUUUGUACUUUUGGGUGUUUGCAUCCAUUGCCAGUACCUAGAAAUCUCAACACUGAAUAUCCUAUCAGUGUAACCUACUGCCACAUGCAAGAUGAAAUAUUCUCCUGGUACUCAGCGUGCAGCCGCAGUUCAGGAUGCAUAGCAACUUUACAUUUUAACUCUAGAGGUUCUAUGCUCCAGUCCUAAGAUUGAUCCAAGGACCGAUCACAGCCUUUGCUCCUCACUUUAGGUCAUUCAUUAAGAUGUUAAAUGAUUUCAGUGCUCAGAAUCACCAUUAGCCUUUGCCUUUGGAAGAGGUACAUUUGUAUUUACUAUCAUCCUUUGUUUAUGGUAUAGCAGUCAGCUUUCAAUCUGCAUGGCAAGUUUCCCUUUCCAAAUCAAUUUGAAUUAAUUUUGAGAUUACAAUUUUGUGAGACUCCAUAAUUAAAGGCGGGAGUGCAAUCCAAACACAGAGCAUCUACAGCUUUUCCUUCACUCGUGACUGCUGCAAGUCUAUUUUUAAAAGCAAUUAAUUUCUGUGGCAAAGCAUAUUCCUUCCAAAAUAAGGCUGUUUGGUGCUUGUAGUUCUUUUGUACGUGAAGGAGAGGAGCCAGAUCCAGCAAGUAUUAGCAAAAGAGGGCACCUCCUGAUGCCUGCUUGAUCUCCAUCACUUAUUAUAGCACCAGAACGUCUUUGCCACUAAAUCACAGCACUGAGACAGUCCUUAACAUAUACAAUAGAGAGCAGCUUCUGGGACUAGGCAGAGUUCUCUCACUGCCCAGAACUGUGUACAUUUAGACAGAUCAAAGUGCUUUGUCUUAGUAUAAUAGAAGGCAAGUUAAAGAAAUGUGAAACUUAAACCUUCCAUUGUUAUCUUUUUUUUAUUAUUAUUAUUUUUUUUUUUUUUUUUUUUUUUUUUGCCUUCAGGUUCCUUUACACUCUGCCUCAUGCCCAUGAUCUGGCAUGCAGUCAAGCUGCAGCAUUUGGAUCAUGCUGCCCUAGAGAUCAGAACAUAUGGGAUGGCCUCAUUAGAAAAUAUAGCACCAGCAGCCACUCCUAGUACUGUGCGUUAAUCUGGUAUUGGGGGAAAAAUAAAAUUAAAUUUGCAUUAAUAUUUUUAUACAUAAAACACGCGUUCAUAGAUAAAGUAGCUGUGGAUCAUUAACACUGUUGCAUAUGUAGCCUACUAAAACAGCUGGGUUAUUAACACUCAAGAAGUUAGCUAGGGCUAAACAGCCAUUUGUACCUUUGUAUCAGACACACACACACACACACACACACACACACACACACAAAGGAUUUGCUCCCAUUGGUCUUAUUGUGUCUUUUUCCCGGGUUUUGAUGCACUUUAUCUUGAUCCCAUCAAGAAAUCUUAAUCCUGGUCCAUAAAUGUUUUCUACAAGAGCUAAAAGUACCUUAUCAGCUCUCCCCUUGCUUUUCUUUAGCAAACACACUGUUACAGAGAGAGUGACACAUGCUGCAGAAUAAGGAUUAACUGCUUUGACCUGAUGUAAAAGACUGUAGAGUUUCAGGGUAGAUUAUAAUAGCUGCCUCUUUUUGGAAACCUAGUGAUAAUAUGUCUGCACAUCCUCCUGAUCACAUAGGACAUAUUCACAUAAUUCAUAGAAUUUUUAAUUGACGACUUCUCGAGCUAUCACCUUUUCCUCUCCCCAUUUCCUUUUUCACAAAGUAUUUCCCAGUAUACACAAUUAAACUGGAAAAUGUAGCCUGUCAGUAGACUCAGAAUGUUCCCUGCAGCACAGAGUUAAGGAGCUUGAAAUGAAAUCGUGAAUGUAAAGAAACAAAGCAAGACUGAGUCAGAGUUUCUACAGAGAAAACCACCAUUUCAGACCAUGCUUACAAUCUGCAUUAAAGAGCCUUCACACCUACUAUUACUGAGGCUCUGAGGCUCUUAUCAGAAGUGCCAGCUUCUUGUUUCAUCACUUGUCCUUUAUUAUUAAGAAAAAUUUUAAAGGGCACUAGAAUCCAUGAAAAUAUGAUCUUAAGCCAUAUACUGUAUGGGGUACUGAGCUCUGAAACAGAUAGUCUUCUUACUGAUCCAAAUGUCAUACAAACGGUUCUUGCUUACUACCCAGUGCCAUCUAUUGACGAAAAAGUGGAAAGAAUUUGUUGCAAAAUGUAUGCCUUCAAUAACCUUCAGCUAGAUAGCGUGGGAAAGGAGAAGGCUGCAGUCACCGAAGCACUUCCAUUGAGGUUGGGCAUUAUCCCUAUCCCUCUCUCCAGACCUUGAAGGUUUCCUGGGAACCUUGCAAGAGGCAGGAGCUGUCCUUGUGCUCACCACUUGCCUUCACAGGAUCUGUAUCCACACAAAUCCUGGUAGCGUUUACCUUUAUGCUCAACAGCAGCAGGAAACCAAGGAGUUAGUACUCCCCCAGAUCCGCAUAGGAUAGCAGGAGGCUUUUUCUACACCAUGCAGGAGAGAAUGUCAGCCAAUUGGCUGCAUGUCAUUUCUCACUGGAUGGUGCCCGUGGGCUGCAGGGGGACUGCCUGCUCCACCAUGGGCCUCUCCUGGACUGCAGGGAACCACUGCUCCAGCCUGGAGCACCUCCUGCCCUCCGUCUGUGCUAACCUGGGUGCCUGCAGGGCUGUUUCUCUCACAUUUCUCACCUCUCUCUCUCUCUCAGCUGCUGUUGUGCAGCAAUUUUUCCCUUUCUUCAGCCUGCUCUCCCAGAGGCACACCCAGUGUUGUUCAUGGCUGAGCUCUGCCCAGCAGUGGGUCACUUCUGGGGCAGCUGAAGGUGGCUCUGAUCUGACAUGGGGCAGCUGCCUGGCUUUGCUCACAGACACCACCCCUGCAACCUCCCGCUGCCAAAACCUUUCCAAGGAAACCCAAUACAGAAGUCAAAGUUGUAAAGUAGGUAUGAAAGUAUAUGACUAUAUUGCUUUGGGAUUUGUGGUAUUGUGUGAUAAGUAAUUCUUAUUAUACAGUAUGCAAUAACUUUUCUUUCUGAAGACAAAUAACUGCCUGGAGUGUUGCAACCAUAACAAAUGAGUUGCUCAGAUUCGUAGGAGAUUAUAAUCCAGGACAUGAUCUGAGAGCACUACAAGCUUCCUGAAAGAAACUGGUAGACACUGAACUGGAAAUGCACUCUGAGAAACCAAGAAAGAUAGAACUGUUAACGUCACCACUACAGUAUCUAGAUUCAUGCAGAAGAAUGAGCAUAGGGGCAGAGGAAACCAAGCAGGGGCACACAGUCAGCAGAAACUCAUUCUUCAGUAGCCACACAAAGUAUCCAGAGAGCGGGAACAGGGCAGCAGGUGAGAUCUCCAAGCCCCCAGUGACCCCAGCUGAAUGAGUUGAAUGGUUAUCAAACUCCUUAAAACUAGUCACACUGUUUUGCUAUCAAAACAUGCUGUUUCUAAGCCUUUCCACUCACGGCCAGGCCCUUUCUACUAAUUGAAAACCUUAAAGUAUUCACAGUCAGCUUAUUCCCACCCAAUUUUUUUUAGUGAGAUGAUAAAAUACAACAGCUGCUUCUUUUCUGACCUUUUAACUCUGUUUCUGUCUUUGAAUCACAUUAGUUUCUCAGCAGGUAUGAGAGUCCUGUUGAGCCAGACUCCCCACUGGGAUCACACAGAGCAAAACUUUGUCUCCAAGUUUCAGUAACCUGCUACAUACAGUAUUGCAUAUUUCCAGACCAGGGUCAAAAUGAGCACUUGCCCAGACAGAAUUAAUCUGCUUAAUGAGGCUUUCAUUUCAGGAAAAAAAAAAAAAAAGAGAGAGAGAGUGAGAGAGAGUUUCCUCACAUCUCUAUUUCUAUAUAAUAGCUACUUUUGUAUAAUGAUCAGAGUAGAAUAAAAUAUUGUUAGUAAUUCAGAAGAACAAAGUAAUAAAAGGGCUUGAAUAGCUUAGAGGGAAGAGAAUGCACUGAACUUUAGAAGAUACUUAACGCAUCCAUAAAUAAGCUAAGAUAUUAUAUACAGCUCAUGUAGAGUCUCAUAAGAAGCACGAAGGAAAUGAGAGCAAUGACUCAUAAGAAAAUAAAAUCUAAAAUAAAAAUAUGCAUUUGCUCCUUUUUCUGCCCCCCAAGUCUCAGUAAAGAUCAGGAAAGUGACCUAAAAUUUUACCCUCUGUAAAAACCCUGUGCUGCUUACUCAGCAAAUGAUAGUCUUUAAAAUGCUUCUAAUUCUACAUCGCUUUGUGCUUUUUUCCCCUACUAAUGAAUACUGUGGUAUCUAUAAUGUAUGGAUAUUUUCUUUAUGUACAUGAAUUACUCAUCCAAUUGGUCAGAAAUUUUUAAAUGGUGGAACGAUUUUUAUUUUGGCUUUUUCUUCCGAGCAGUGAU